GUCUUACAGCGCAGUGGCAUGUGCCUGUAUUCCCAGCUACUCGGGAGGCUGAGGUGGGAGGAUCACUUGAGCCCAGGAGUUCUGGGCUGUAGUGCGCUAUGCCGAUCGGGUGUCCGCACUAAGUUUGGCAUCAAUAUGGUAACCUCCCGGGAGCGAGGGACCACCAGGUUAACUAAAGAGGGGUGAACCAGCCCAGGUCAGAAACGGAGCAGAUCAAAACUCCUGUGCUGGUCAGUAGUGGGAUCGCACCUGUGAAUAUCCACUGCCCUCCAGUCUGGGCAACAUAGCAAGACCCCCACUCU
rnacentral:SRP_RNA from 1 species